rnacentral:rRNA from 1 species
GCUUACACAUGCAAGUCGAGGCAGCGGGGAGUGCUUGCACUCCUGCCGGCGACUGGCGCACGGGUGAGUAACACGUAUGCAACCUACCUCUGACAGGGGGACAACCUUCCGAAAGGGAGGCUAAUCCCGCAUAUAUUCCUUGAGGGCAUCCUUGAGGGAGGAAAACUACGGUGGUUGGAGAUGGGCAUGCGGCGCAUUAGUUAGUUGGUGAGGUAACGGCUCACCAAGGCGACGAUGCGUAGGGGUUCUGAGAGGAAGGUCCCCCACACUGGUACUGAGACACGGACCAGACUCCUACGGGAGGCAGCAGUGAGGAAUAUUGGUCAAUGGGCGAGAGCCUGAACCAGCCAAGCCGCGUGAAGGACUAAGGCCCUAUGGGUCGUAAACUUCUUUUGUCGGGGAACAAAAAGGUGGACGAGUCCGCCGUUGCGUGUACCCGAAGAAAAAGCAUCGGCUAACUCCGUGCCAGCAGCCGCGGUAAUACGGAGGAUGCGAGCGUUAUCCGGAUUUAUUGGGUUUAAAGGGUGCGUAGGUGGCUUGGUAAGUCAGCGGUAAAAUUUCGGGGCUUAACCUCGUUAGCCGUUGAACUGUCGAGCUCGAGAGGGAGAGAAGUAGGCGGAAUGCGCAGUGUAGCGGUGAAUGCAUAGAUAUGCGCAGACUCCGAUGCGAGCAGCCUACGCUCUAUCUGACACUGAGCACGAAGCGUGGAUCAACAGGAUAUAAAUCC